CGCGAAUAGCUCAUUACAACAGCUAUAAUUUACUUGAAUUUGACAACCCUACUUGGAUACCGGUGGUAAUUCUAGCGCUAAUACAUGCACCAAAGCUCCGACCGCGAGGGAAGAGCGCAUUUAUUAGAACAAAACCACACGGCUUCGGCCGUCCAAUGUUGACUCAGAAUAACUAAGCUGAUCGCAUGGUCUUGCACCGGCGACGUUUCUUUCAAGUAUCUGCCUUAUCAACUUUCGAUGGUAGUGUAUCUGACUACCAUGGUGAUGACGGGUAACGGAGGAUAAGGGUUCGACUCCGGAGAAGGGGCCUGAGAAAUGGCCACUACGUCUAAGGAUGGCAGCAGGCGCGCAAAUUACCCACUCUCAGUACGAGGAGGUAGUGACGAGAAAUAACAAGACCGUUCUCACAAGAGGCCGGUCAUUGGAGUGGGUACAAUUUAAACCCUUUAACGAGUAUCUAUGAGAGGGCAAGUCUGGUGCCAGCAGCCGCGGUAAUUCCAGCU
rnacentral:rRNA from 1 species